AUUGAACGCUGGCGGCAGGCCUAACACAUGCAAGUCGAACGCGUGGCGGACGGGUGUGACAUGUCUGGGACCCUGCUUGAUGGAGGGGGAAAACUACUGGAACCGGUAGCUAAUCCCGCAUACCAUCGGAUGUGCCCAGAUGGGAUUCGCUAGUAGGUGGGGUAAAGGCUCACCUAGGCCACGAUCCCUAGUUGGUCUGAGAGGAUGACCAGCCACACUGGAACUGAGACACGGUCCAGACUCCUACGGGAGGCAGCAGUGGGGAAUAUUGCACAAUGGGCGCAAGCCUGAUGCAGCCAUGCCGCGUGUAUGAAGAAGGCCUUCGGGUUGUAAGGUACUUUCAGCGGGGAGGCGUUACCCGCAGAAGAAGCACCGGCUAACUCCGUGCCAGCAGCCGCGGUAAUAC
rnacentral:rRNA from 1 species